CCGCAAGUAGACGAGGUCUGCUGGGAUACACCGGGACCUCGGGAACGGCGCUGGGUGGGGCUUGGCCGGCCGGAGGCACGCCGGAAGGGGUCACUUCCAGACGCCGGUUCCGGUUCCGGAGGUUUAUUGCCACGGCAACGCGACCGGUAGCCCCGCGGUGGUGACGUCCCGAAAGGACAUGGUCUUCAGAUCCGGUGAUUCCAGGUUAAGCAGAGGUGCCGCACCAUGUAAAGACAUACACAGGAAAUGCUGUUAUGCCAAGCAUCCAUUCCAAAGUGCCCUUAACAAUAGAGUGUGUUAAUUGCUUCCCAAAUCACCAAGUUUUCAUUGAUGUUUACCUUGAUGUAAGUAUUUUUACUUUAAAUAAAUAACUAUUGGCA
rnacentral:lncRNA from 1 species